rnacentral:lncRNA from 1 species
AGCUCCAUUUAUCUUCAACAAAUAAAGAAAUUAAACACCGUCCAACUCAACAAACAUUAAUCCAACAACUUUCAUCACUUCCAGGAAGCUGAAAGUAAGCAGUUUGUCUCAAUUUUUCUUAUGCUCUAAUCUAGUCAGACGCGCUAUAUAAAAUAGCAGAGUUUUAUUCACUAACAUCCGUUUGAACAAUUCAUGUUCCGACCAAUCAAACAAGCACUUAUUGAGAUUAUCCGUCCUCUUUGCAAGUGAUGAAACAAGCACUAAUACAACAACAAUGCCAUUUUCUCAACUGCUCAUCAUCAUUAUUGUUACAAUAGCUGGGAUUUGUUCUUUAUCCUCGUCGCAGCAGCAACCAAACACAGUGGAAUGUCCACUAGACUUCAAUGUACUCCGGAAACUAGCCCAAGGUUCUAGACCUUCAAACAACUCAGGCUCCGACCCUUGUCGGUUAAUUCUACAAGGCCUACAUCUAGUUCAAUCUGAGUACCUCCAANACAAGUUGUUUCCAACUUCAAUCUAGCCAAUAAUGAAGCAACAAGUUGUUUCCGGUCUCAAACGAGUCAAGAAUGAUACUACAAGUUCAUUCUAAUUUUAAACAACCGAAAAUGAAGCUACAAGUUGUUUUCAACUUCGAACUAGUCUGGAAUGAAGCUACAAGUUGUUUCCAACUUCAAUCUAGUUGUCUCAAUUUUUCUUAUGCUCUAAUCUAGUCAGACGCGCUAUAUAAAAUAGCAGAGUUUUAUUCACUAACAUCCGUUUGAACAAUUCAUGUUCCGACCAAUCAAACAAGCACUUAUUGAGAUUAUCCGUCCUCUUUGCAAGUGAUGAAACAAGCACUAAUACAACAACAAUGCCAUUUUCUCAACUGCUCAUCAUCAUUAUUGUUACAAUAGCUGGGAUUUGUUCUUUAUCCUCGUCGCAGCAGCAACCAAACACAGUGGAAUGUCCACUAGACUUCAAUGUACUCCGGAAACUAGCCCAAGGUUCUAGACCUUCAAACAACUCAGGCUCCGACCCUUGUCGGUUAAUUCUACAAGGCCUACAUCUAGUUCAAUCUGAGUACCUCCAACGCACAAACUCAUUCCUUCCACCAUCGUCGUCUUCUGAGUCCUGCUGGAACGAUUACCAAAAUCUAUUCGACCAGUCCUCCAACAGCUUGAAUAUUCAAAAAGACUGUGGCUUCGAAACAGAGUGGAUUUCUCAAGG